rnacentral:rRNA from 1 species
AUUGAACGCUGGCGGCAUGCUUUACACAUGCGAGUCGAACGGUAACAGGCCUUCGGGUGCUGACGAGUGGCGCACGGGUGAGUAAUGCAUCGGAACGUACCCAGAGGUGGGGGAUAACGCAGCGAAAGCUGUGCUAAUACCGCAUGUGAUCUGAGGAUGAAAGCGGGGGACCGAGCAGCAAUGUUUGGCCUCGCGCCUUUGGAGCGGCCGAUGUCGGAUUAGCUAGUUGGUGGGGUAAAGGCCUACCAAGGCGACGAUCCGUAGCUGGUCUGAGAGGACGACCAGCCACACUGGGACUGAGACACGGCCCAGACUCCUACGGGAGGCAGCAGUGGGGAAUUUUGGACAAUGGGCGCGAGCCUGAUCCAGCAAUGCCGCGUGCGGGAAGAAGGCCUUCGGGUUGUAAACCGCUUUUGGCAGGAACGAAACGGUGUCCGCUAAUACCGGGCGCUAAUGACGGUACCUGCAGAAUAAGCACCGGCUAACUACGUG